rnacentral:rRNA from 1 species
UACGAAGGUGGCAAGCGUUGUUCGGAUUUACUGGGCGUACAGGGAGCGUAGGCGGUUGGAUAAGCCCUCCGUGAAAUCUCCAGGCUUAACCUGGAAAGUGCAGAGGGGACUGUUCAGCUAGAGGAUGGGAGAGGAGCGCGGAAUUCCAGGUGUAGCGGUGAAAUGCGUAGAUAUCUGGAGGAACACCGGUGGCGAAGGCGGCAUUCUGGACCGAAACUGACGCUGAGGCGCGAAAGCCAGGGGAGCAAACGGG